AACGAACGCUGGCGGCAUGCCUAACACAUGCGAGUCGAACGAAGCCUUCGGGCUUAGUGGCGCACGGGUGCGGAACGCGGGGGAAUCUGCCCCUUUCUUCGGAAUAACAGUUAGAAAUGACUGCUAAUACCGGAUGACGUCUUCGGACCAAAGAUUUAUCGGGAAGGGAUGAGCCCGCGUAGGAUUAGGUAGUUGGUGGGGUAAAGGCCUACCAAGCCGACGAUCCUUAGCUGGUCUGAGAGGAUGAUCAGCCACACUGGGACUGAGACACGGCCCAGACUCCUACGGGAGGCAGCAGUGGGGAAUACUGGACAAUGGACGCAAGUCUGAUCCAGCAAGGCCGGGUGAGUGAUGAAGGCCUUAGGGUUGUAAAGCUCUUUUACCAGGGAUGAUAAUGACAGUACCUGGAGAAUAAGCUCCGGCUAACUCCGUG
rnacentral:rRNA from 1 species